rnacentral:rRNA from 1 species
ACGCUGGCGGCGUGCCUGAUACAUGCGAGUCGAGCGAAUGAUGAGGAGCUGGCUCCUCUGAUUUAGCGGCGGACGGGUGAGUAACACGUGGGCAACCUGCCCUGUAGACUGGGAUAACUUCGGGAAACCGGAGCUAAUACCGGAUAACCCAUUUCACCUCAUGGUGAAAUGUUGAAAGGCGCUUUCGGGCGUCACUACAGGAUGGGCCCGCGGUGCAUUAGCUAGUUGGUGGGGUAACGGCCUACCAAGGCGAUGAUGCAUAGCCGACCUGAGAGGGUGAUCGGCCACAUUGGGACUGAGACACGGCCCAAACUCCUACGGGAGGCAGCAGUAGGGAAUCUUCCACAAUGGACGAGAAGUCUGAUGGAGCAACGCCGCGUGAGUGAUGAAGGUUUUCGGAUCGUAAAACUCUGUUGUAAGGGAAGCACAAGUACGUUAG